AUUGAACGCUGGCGGCAUGCCUUACACAUGCAAGUCGAACGGUAACAGGUCUUCGGAUGCUGACGAGUGGCGAACGGGUGAGUAAUACAUCGGAACGUGCCCGAUCGUGGGGGAUAACGAAGCGAAAGCUUUGCUAAUACCGCAUAAGAUCUACGGAUGAAAGCAGGGGACCGCAAGGCCUUGCGCGAACGGAGCGGCCGAUGGCAGAUUAGGUAGUUGGUGGGAUAAAAGCUUACCAAGCCGACGAUCUGUAGCUGGUCUGAGAGGACGACCAGCCACACUGGGACUGAGACACGGCCUAGACUCCUACGGGAGGCAGCAGUGUGGAAUUUUGGACAAUGGGCGAAAGCCUGAUCCAGCCAUGCCGCGUGCAGGAUGAAGGCCUUCGGGUUGUAAACUGCUUUUGUACGGAACGAAAAGACUCUUUCUAAUAAAGAGGGUCCAUGACGGUACCGUAAGAAUAAGCACCGGCUAACUACGUGCCAGCAGCCGCCGCCG
rnacentral:rRNA from 1 species